rnacentral:rRNA from 1 species
UACGUAGGGGGCUAGCGUUGUCCGGAAUCAUUGGGCGUAAAGCGCGUGUAGGCGGCCCGGUAAGUCCGCUGUGAAAGUCGGGGGCUCAACCCUGGGAUGCCGGUGGAUACUGUCGGGCUCGAGUACGGAAGAGGCGAGUGGAAUUCCUGGUGUAGCGGUGAAAUGCGCAGAUAUCAGGAGGAACACCAAUUGCGAAGGCAGCUCGCUGGGACGUUACUGACGCUGAGACGCGAAAGCGUGGGGAGCAAACAGG